rnacentral:rRNA from 1 species
UUUAGGUUGCUUUAGAUUUUGGAUAUGGAUCAGUUUUGAUCGUGUCGGCAGGAUUACAGCAUGCAUGUCGAGACGCAUGCAAGUAGAUUUGGACUAGAGUCAGGGGUGGACAGGUGAGUAAUACUUACGGACGGGUGAGUUAGUGUGUGAGUAACGUUCCGUUAAGAGGGGUAUACCUUAUAAAUCCAACGGUAAAAGCAGGGGACUUUUGGGCCUGCACUCAUAGAUGACCUGAGUCGCAUUAGCUAGUUGGUGGGGUAAAGGCUCAUCAAGAGUCGAUGGGUAGCGGGUCUGAGAGGAUGAUCUCCACACUGGGUUGAGACACGGCCCAGACUCCUACGGGAGGCAGCAGUGCGGAAUCUUCGGCAAUGGGCAGCAGUCUGAUGCAGCCACGCCGCGUGAGUGAUGAAGGCAUUUGGGUCGUAAAACUCUAUAAUUUCGGAGGAACAUAAACCUAUGUAUUUGUUGGCACAUUGGACGUUACUCACCGAAAAAGCUCCGGCUAAUUCGGUCCCACCAGCCCGGGUAAUACUUAGGGGCCAAGCGUUUUCCGGAUUUAUUGGGGGUAAAGGGUGCGUAGGCGUCUUUUUAAUUCGAGGGUGAAACCCCCGGGUUUACCCCGGAAAUUCCGUUGGAAACUGGAAGGCUUGAGUCAGGUAGAGGGAGGGGGAAUUCCCGGUGUAGCGGUGAAAUGGGUAGAGAUCGGGAGGAACCCCGUUGGGGAAGGCAGCCUUCUGGCCUUAAACUGCCGUUGAGGCAGGAAAGCUUGGGUAGCAACCAGGAUUAAAUACCCUGGUAUUCCAUCCCUUAACCAUUAAUUCCUAGUUUAGGGGGUCCCCCCCCUUGGUGCCGGAGCUAACGCAAUAAGUACACCCCACGGGGGGUUGCGUUGGC